rnacentral:rRNA from 1 species
GACGAACGCUGGCGGCGUGCUUAACACAUGCCAGUCGAACGGAAAGGCCCUGCUUUUGCGGGGUUCUCGAGUGGCGAAGGGGUGAGUAACACGCGAGUAACCUGCCCCUGUCUUUGGGAUAACUCUAGGAAACUGGGGCUAAUACCGGAUAGGAGCUCUUGCUGCACGGUGGGGGAUGGAAAGUUUCGGCGGUUGUGGCUGGUCUGGCAGGUUCUCAGCCUGUUGGUGGGGUAGUGGCUUACCAAGGUUUUGACGGGUAGGCGGCGUGGGAGGGUGACCGGCGACAUGGGGACUAAGGUACGGCCCAGACUCCUACGGGAGGCAGCAGUCGAGAAUAUUGCACAAUGGGCGGAAGCCUGAGGCAGAAGCGCCGCGUGCGGGAUGACGGGCUUCGGGUUGUAAACCGCUUUCGCCUGUGACGAAGCGUGAGUGACGGUAAUGGGUAAAGAAGCACCGGCUAACUACGUG